rnacentral:rRNA from 1 species
UACGUAGGGGGCAAGCGUUGUCCGGAAUCAUUGGGCGUAAAGCGCGUGUAGGCGGCUUGGUAAGUCUGCUCUGAAAGCCCGGGGCUCAACCCCGGGAGGCGGGUGGAUACUGUCAAGCUCGAGUCCGGAAGAGGAGUGUGGAAUUCCUGGUGUAGCGGUGAAAUGCGCAGAUAUCAGGAGGAACACCAAUGGCGAAGGCAGCUCGCUGGGACGUUACUGACGCUGAGACGCGAAAGCGUGGGGAGCAAACAGG